UUUUCUCCUCUUCUAAAGGAGGUAUCACGAAAACUGGAGCGAGCGGCCAACAAGACAAAAACUUGGAAAGAUAAAGUGGCCAAACACGAAGGGCUGGUUCGUCUCAUCCAGCCAGGUCAUAAAGGAGCUCAGAGAAUCACUAACUGGGGCCCGGCCUCGUUCACCGACAUUGAGCUGGAGCUGAGGAAGAAGUCCUGGCAGGAGAAGAAGAACCAGGGAGCUCCGGCUGAAUGAAGGACGCUUCGAAUAAACCGGUGACCUCUUGACACAUCAUCAGUUAGUUGAAGCUCAGAAAAUAGUUUCUCAAGAUCCUAGAGACGAUUCAUCCAAUUGUAUAAAGCGGCCGCCUUCUCUGCUUUUAAUGCGAGAAAUUAAGAUUCCCAUUCAUUUCUUUUCAACUCAAAAAUAUUUAAUUCCAUCUGUUUCAGUGUUUAAGUCUUCAAUCUAAACUGGUUUUAACAUAAAUAACAUGAACUGAUAUGUAUUUUGUAAUAAACACCGUUCAGUUUUGUAUGCCGGUGGGAGUUGAUUUCUGUCUGAUCUCUGCUUUAAAUAACCAUUUUCAUAACAAAAGCCGACUUAAAUGUAACCACAUUUUUUCAGUUUUAUAUGAAAGCCUUUGUAACUUCUGCUUCAUCCACUAGGUGGCAGCACGAUAACGGGACAUUUUGAUUUGUAUUACCUGUGCAGGAGCAGAAGUCUGCUGCUGCUCUUAAAAAUACUCAAGGGAAUGUGUGAAACACAAACAAGUAUAAAAUCAUUGCUUUAAUA